GCCUUCGAUCCCCUCUUAUCAUUUGCUAGUUCACUUUUGAGGCUUUUUUGCGCGUGAAGCCCAUCCUUUUCUUUUUCUUUUUUUUUGUUGCAAGUAUCUCGGUCUCUUUGUUAUGAAAUAGAGUCUUCUCUUUAUAUUUGUGCUUGCAUUUUGAUGUAAGUUGAACUCUCAGACCUUUUUUUAAUGGUUACAAGUGGCCAAAUCUUAAAAUUGAGGACAUUUUUAGUGAACUAAGAUUAGAAGAACUGAAGUUUCAAUACACUACUAGUCAAAUUUAGAUUUGCGAAGUAUAAUUAAUAAG
rnacentral:lncRNA from 1 species